GGAGCUGGCUGGCAGCCGUUGCUGCUGCCUGGAGGAUGGGUCUCUGAGGGGGCCAGAGGGCCCUGGGCAGGUGUUGGGGGCCUGUGGGUAGUGGGUCAGGCUCUGCAGGACACAGGCUGUGAGUUACAGGACUUCUGCGUGCCAAGGCACCGGCCAGAUCACCACUUCCCCAUUUGUGUGCCUUUGUGACCCUCUCUGUCCCCAUCUCUGGUCACCUCCAGGAAGAGAACCUGGAAAUUCUGCUUCGGUGGCUGAAGUAGAUGUCACUGACCUCCCGAUGGUCAAAAAGAGAAGAGGAAGUUGAACACCAGGAGUUGCGUAAAUUACCCUCAGUGGCAGAGAGGAGGCCCGGAAUCCCAGACUCCAUUUCCAGUACCUUCCGGGCACCCUUGGCCUUUCCCCAGCCUCUCCCCACCCCGACUCUUCAUCACGCUGACUGAGAGACUGAGGCCCAGAAGGCUCUUGCCCAAGAACUCACAGCUGGUAAGUGGUGGAGCUGGACUUUGAACCCAGGAAGCCUGGCUUCCCUUGACAGGAUUAUAAUAACUUUUUUUUUUUUUUUUUUUCCAGUAUGCGGGCCUCUCACUGCUGUGGCCUCUGCCGUUGCGGAGCACAGGUUCCGGACGCACAGGCUCAGCAGCCAUGGCUCACGGGCCCAGCCGCCCCGCGGCAUGUGGGAUCUUCCCGGACCGGGGCACGAACCCGUGUCCCCUGCAUUGGCAGGCGGAUUCUCAACCACUGCGCUACCAGGGAAGCCCUAUAAUAACAUUUUAAUGAAUUGGUUU